rnacentral:rRNA from 1 species
CCUACGGGAGGCAGCAGUGAGGAAUAUUGGUCAAUGGACGAGAGUCUGAACCAGCCAAGUAGCGUGAAGGAUGACUGCCCUAUGGGUUGUAAACUUCUUUUAUAUGGGAAUAAAAUGUUCCACGUGUGGGAUUUUGUAUGUACCAUAUGAAUAAGGAUCGGCUAACUCCGUGCCAGCAGCCGCGGUAAUACGGAGGAUCCAAGCGUUAUCCGGAUUUAUUGGGUUUAAAGGGAGCGUAGGUGGAUGGUUAAGUCAGUUGUGAAAGUUUGCGGCUCAACCGUAAAAUUGCAGUUGAAACUGGCAGUCUUGAGUACAGUAGAGGUGGGCGGAAUUCGUGGUGUAGCGGUGAAAUGCUUAGAUAUCACGAAGAACUCCGAUUGCGAAGGCAGUUCACUGGACUGCAACUGACACUGAGGCUCGAAAGUGUGGGUAUCAAACAGGAUUAGAAGUAGUC